rnacentral:lncRNA from 1 species
GCCAAUCCGUGCCCCCUCAGCUCCUCUUGCCCCAGAUCCAGGGAAGGGAAACUAACAUUUACUGAGUGACCGGCAUUUCUCGUGCGUUAUGUCAGGUAAUCCUCACAGCAGCCCUUCAAGGUGGGUCCUGCCCUCCUGGGCCUUCACCUGGCAGGAGAACUCCAUGCUUCGACAGGCGAUGGCAGGACCUGCAAUGAGUGCUGUGAAGAAGGAAUGCCUCAACCCAGCGGGGGUGAGGAAGCAGGAGGGGUGCCGAGGAGGAACGUUGGCAGUUUGGUUUAGAGAAGUGGGGACCACACAUAAGCCCACACUGGCUUCACUCAAGAGAGACCUGCUGGUUAUUUGCUCCAAGCCCGGUGCUGGGUGGGGAGGCGAUCCAGGAUUCUGAAGCCCAUUGCGAGACUGCACACCAUGGCGUGUGGAUUCAGGCUAGAAAACAGGGCUCCUUUCUGUUUUUCUUGGUGUUGCAUUAAAUAAAUAUAUACGAUAC